ensembl:lncRNA
UGUGUGUGUGUGGAAGAGGGAGGAAUGAGGAAGCUGGCUGAUAUCAUUGUGAGGCUGCUCUGUCAUCUCUGAAUGGCUGUGAUGACAGCAGAAGGUCCCUUUUGACUGGAAAGUGGCAAAUGUUACCCUCGACCUCAAAUGAAAAGGAGAUCCAAGGGAACUGCGGACUGUUCAGCUCCACCUUUGUCUCCAGGAAAGUUACAGAGCAAAUCUUCCAGGGAGCCAUUCCCAAGGACAUUAAGGAAGCACUGAAUAUAGGGACCAGAUCUCCAUUGACUAUCACGGCAAUUUGAGUCCUAAAUGUUCUGGCUUAAGGUUGAGCUGACUUCUACUGUACCUCCAAGAAAGCGGAUGAUUUUGCCAUGUUCCUGGGAGGAACAAAAGCCUUUGGUAGGACAAAAACCAAACUUUGCUCUGUUUGGUCUCAUGGGCCCAACUUAAAUUCUGAGCGUACAUAAUCCCUCCUGGAAGGAUGGGAAAUAGAAGCAAAAUGUCUUCUCCAAGUCUACGCAAAAACUUAUGGGAGCCAGCAGAGCUGGUGCUGACAAUGAACAUUCGUGUAUGGAUGUGAGAAAUCCUGCUGGAUUAUUAGAUGUCCUGCCAUUCAGCUGAGCAGAGGCUCUGGAUCCUGGUCUGUAUGGGAUUUGUUAGCAGUGGCUGUAUGAUAACCAUGCUGAAGUGGAAUGGAAUAAUCCCUUCCGCAAACGAACACCAAAUGGGAUUGAUGCCGUGGGUUGAUAACCUGUUGCACAGGAGUAGCACCUUAAAUUGCACGGGUGGAAAUCCUAUGUGUCAGAGGACAUUUGAAGGCUGAUUCCACAAAUGUUUGCAAAUGUAGAUCUUAGCUUCACUCCCGUGGUUUCUCACAGUGAAGUUAGACUGAAGUUAAACUUCAGUCUGUGAGAUCUUGUGGGUCCCAAAUUUGCAAGGAGCUGAACCCACCAGCUCCUGUUAGCUUAUCACCUGUGUUUCUGUCCUGAGAGAGUUACAGCAAGAGAAGGGAGGAGAAAUGUGAAAUAGAGCACACUGAUUCACAACAGCACUUGAUCAUUACAGCAAAACCCAACCAAACCAAACCAACUAUGAAGUACCUGUAGCACUGAAAUCCAGCUGCCAAUGAUUUUGCUGUACAGAACAGUCUUUGGUACCCUUAGUUUGCUGUCAGUGCUAAAGCCAAAUGUGUACAUAAUGGAAUAGCUUUUUAAAAACCUGGCUUUUUUUGUCUUUCCAAGCCUAAAAAUGCUAUCCUGUGUCCAGAGGGAAAAAAAAAAAAACACAACUUGAGGUGACUUUUGUUUUAAGGCUGUUUUAAAUUUAUAACAGAGCUGGCUAAAAUGCUUUUCAUCAAAGUACAAAAGUUUCAUGCUGUAAUUAAUGGCAAGUGAUAUCUAACGCAAUAAAACACCAUCAUUUCAGUGUUCUUACAAGACUAUUUAUGACUGGAUAUUGAAACUGAUAAUGAUUCUGCCAUUUGUCCUCAUAAUUUAUUAUUCCAAGGAGAGGCAAGUGGUGGUAAGGGUUCACGAUCCGUUUUAUGGAAAGAGUGCUGAAUUCAGCUUUUCAUGGAUGUAAAUGACAAUGUUUGGUGCUGGGCAGAAAGUGUGUGUGUGACAGCGGGAGCAGACCCUGUUGAGGGGUCGAGGUGGGGAGCAUUAAUGGUCUUUCUGGGCGAGGGAAGCCCUUGGCCGUGUGAUCCAAUUGCAGCCAGCUACUGGGACCAGUGCAAAGAGUGGGUUGUUUCCACAACAGGGUGCUUUCCAAGACUAGGGCAGAAUUUUUCUGGAAACCUCCCACCUGAUUUCUGAGCAAGAUGAUCUCCUGAACUAUCGCUUUGGGCAGCCAAAACUGAAUUCAUGAUAAACAUCGCUACCCAAAGCUCGUUGAACAGAAUGAAAAGAGUUACUGGCUCUGGCAAGCCUUGUAUCAGGCUGAAACAAAAGCUCUGUUCCAGAGGAAACUUCCCUUGGCCUUGCCAAGUGCCAGCCUGCAUCCCUCUGGGCACAGCCCAUUUCUUUUCGUAGAAUCAUGGAAUCCCAGAAUCAUUAAGGUUGGAAAAGACCACUAAGAUCAUCUAGUCCAACCAUCCACCUACCAACAAUAUUGCCCACUAAAUCAUGUUCCUCAGUGCCACAUCUCCACGGUUCUGGAACACCUCCAGUGACAGUGACUCCACCACCUCCCUGGGCAGCUGUGCCACUGCGUUCCUGCCCCUUCUGAGAAGAAAUGUUUCCUAAUAUUCAACCUGAACCUCCCCUGGCACAACUUGAGGCCAUUGCCUCUCAUCCUAUCACUGGCUGAGGCUGAUUUACUGAAUGCUUGGGCUCUGAUUCACACCUUAUUCAGGCUCAUAGAAACCUGGAGGAAUUUCUGUAGAGUCAGUAUUGACACAAUUAAUGGAAAAUCUGAGUGAAGUCAGACCCCGGGGGUUAUUUUUUUGGGCCUAGAUGGUGCUUCAUCCUCCUGGACUCCGGGACAGGGUGGUUCAUGUUCCCUAGACUACAACCCUCUGGUUGUUCCCAGGCUGCUGCUCAUUUGCUGCAGAAUAAGGUACUGUAGGUAAAGAUUUGCAUUUCCAUUGAUAGCCCUAGCUGCAUUCUCACGAGUUUCUUGCUGCUUUGCAAAUAGCUUGGAGUGAGCCUGCUGCCACAGAAGCAGAGCAGAAUGUGACCCAUUUUCUUUGCUUUUCAAGUGCUAUGGUCCCCUUCUUCAAGCCUCCAACAUCCCCCCCAUUUAUUGUAAUCAGCACGUCAAAAGGGAAGUCAUUCCUUUAUUGGAGGUUAUCUGUGUCAGGGGAAGUUAUGUUCCCAUCGCUACCUGGGGGCCCAUCAGCAGAUAAAGAUGGAGAGCAGUGACUCAGAAUGACUUUGAAGCAACACCCAGCAGCAACUGAAGACAAGAACAUAACCUUAGCUGACGUUUAAUAUAACCCGAUACACAAAUAAAGCCAUUCCACUAAAUUAUGCAUCCUUUUACUCUUGGCUGUUGUUAAAGGAAGGCGACAGGGUGAGUGUUCUCGACGUGUGUUUCUUCCUUUGCAGUGUCGGGAGCUGAGUGACAGAUGCACACUGAUGGAGCACAGUGCAUUGAUUUUUGCUGCUGCAGUACUUUAUGCUCAAAGAAAUACAGCUUUUAAAGCGAUGGAGGACCCCUAUUCAGAGAAAACAGGUGAGGCAGAUGGGUGAUUUUCCCUGAAUGAGCCUUAGUUAUCUGCUUUGAGUUAAGCAGGUGCUUUGUUGACCGCAUUGAUGUGAGUACAUUCACCAGGAGGUUUGGGUUGAACUAAGCAAUGGUUAAACAGCCAUUGAGAAAAAGAAGGUAGUGGGGAUGUUUAGAAAAGAUCUGUUUCUGAUGCACUGUUUGUUUGAAACCAAGAAAUAAUGCGUUCACUUUUUUCCCUAAUGGCACAAACACAGGCAUGUGCCAUUGCUUGUGCAUUUUUCUCUUUUCCACUCAAUUCAAUUAAUUCAUUGCGGUGAAUCUUUGAAAAUAUAAGUCGAUUUUAAAGAGGACUCUUGCAUCUUUAAGAGGCAAUAAUAGCACUUCUCAGAAUAUGUGCACAAAUUGAGAACAAUCUGUCACGUUGACGGACUGAUCUGACUCUUCUGUGAACGCAUGUCCACACCACCAAAAAAUGGCUGUGCAAUUAGCAUGAUAGGCAAGAGGCAUCUGAAAGGUCAUUAAGGGGAUUUGCUAGCUGCUCUGCCCUCAGAAGCGUGCACAAAGCCUGUCUCUGUCCAUGUUUUUGUGUUGUCAUCCGUAUAGCAAAAGUCCUUUUGUUUCAGGAACCAGGCAGACAUCCCAGGUUUUAUGUUUAUUUACAGAAGAUGAACUUGCUUCUGAGUUGGGUUUUGUAAAAUUUGAUCCAAAGCUGAGCCGGACCCUUGGCUUGUGUUGCCAUCAGCUGGUUUUCAUGGAAAGCAUCUGGCUGGGGCAGGGGAGCACAGGAAGCAAUGGGGUCUCAGGGGUAAUGCAGGAGAUACAGGGAGGGGUUUGCCUCCCGCUCAGCAGUCCUUUGGUUUUGGGCUGAUGGGACAAUAAAGAAUGUGGAAAAAGGGAUGAGGAAAGUGGAUUAGGGGGUGACAGGCUUGCCCUGCACUGGGCACGAAAAACUCAUUUCAUAGAGUAUAGAAUCAUUAAGGUUGGAAAAGACCAUUAAGAUCACGAAGUCCAACCCCAACCCACCCCCAACGUGCCCACUGACCACAUCCCUCGGUGACACAUCUCCGUGGUUCUUGAACCACUUCAGGGAUGGUUAUUCUACCACCUCCCUGGACAGCCUGUUCCAAUGCCUCACCACUCUUUCUGAGAUAUAUUUUUUCCUAAUAUCCAACCUGAACCUCCACUGGCACAAUUUAAAGUCAUUACAUCUUGUCCUAUUUACCUGCAGGAGAUAGGAACCUCCACUAAAAACACCAGUGAUGAUAGGAUGAGGGGCGAUGUCCUUCAAAGCUUGGUUAGAUGCCAGCUCUCCAGAUCUGGCAGGAGCUCUCCCACUAAUGUGCUUGCAGUCCCAGGAGCAAUAUUUACCCUCAUCAGGGCUUGGCUCUGUUUUGUCCCUGAGGGCUUGCAGAUGUGGCAGUCACCUGCACCUUCCCUGGCACUGGUGAUCAGGCUACCACCCAUAAUCCCAAGGCUGCAAGAGCUGACCCCAAACCAAUUUUGUUUGUGAAGAUGUGGAAAAGAAGGAGAUUUUGUUGUGUAAUGUUUGCAGUUGAGGUUCUGGGGAGGGGAAUAUGGUCUCUGGGUCAGAGGAUCUCAUCUCCUGCUUGGCUCUGUGCCGACUUGUCAGCUUCAGUGUCGCAGUCUCAGAAUCAUUUGGGUUGGAAGGGACCACUAAAGGCCACCUCGUCCAACUCUCUGCAAUGAACAGGGGCACCCAUGGCUCCAUCAGGUGCCCAGAGUCUCAUCCAGCCUGACUCCAAUGGCUCCAGGGAUGGGGCAUCCUCACAUCUCAAUGUGAAACGUCAGUCUGACAAAUACAUGGGAGCCUGUCCACCAUUUACACAGCAGUGCUGGGCAGAGGACACAGCAUAUAUUACCCAAAAGUUCACUGGAAGACGGUGGAGGUGAUCAGGAAGGGAAGAAACUUCCGAUGCCUUGCGAGCCAAGCUGUAAAAAGGGAAAACAAGGGGAGUUGUCGCUGCUGGGAGCAGCGGGUGGCAACUGAAUGGGGCCGAGCUGGGGGCACCCACAGGCUGUGCUGCGGGGAGAAGCACUGGGCAGGGCGGUGGGUGCGGAGGGAGCAGCGCUUCCCAGUGCAUCUCACUAGAGGGUGCCCGCUCGCUGCGCUUGCUGCAGCACACGAGCCCCUGCCCAGGCUCGGAGGUUUUGGGUUCCGUGCAUUCUUGCUGGCUCGUUCCGUCCCCUUUCGUGACCCGAAAUCGGUGCGGUGUCCUCUGCGCGAUGCGCUUGGGCCAGAGGUGCUGCACUGAGAGUUGGUGGUGCACAAGCAGCAAAUUGGGUUGAUUGUAGGCAGUUCGUUCUGUACGCAGGAAGCAUCCCUCGUCUUGGAUAGCGAUGAUGGCAGCCGCCCCCAGCCCUCCCUCUGGGGACACCGGGGGCUAUCCCCCAUGCCUUGGUGGCCUUAUGUGCCUCUCAUGCCCCCUUUCCCAUCAGUACACUGCAGGAGGGGAUGUCACAGGGAUGUUGCUCCCAUUGCUGGCUCUUGGUCCCAAGAAUCGUGAACAAACAUCUCCUGUGUGUUGUUGCUGUCCUCCCAAGAACAGGAGAUGUGCUCUCCUCUCUGGACUUUCUGCUUGCUUCUCUCAGAUCAUUGCUUUUCAGAUGAUAUCUGAAUUCCCCUCUUGAGCACUCACAUCCCCGUCAGACUGGGGCCCACAAUGGAGUUCACAAGGACAUUCUCCACCCCUCAAAAUCAUAUCCUCAAUGCACUCCUCAAUGAAAACAUUGGCCAGACCCAGAUCUGAGGCAAGCCUACAUAUAUGGGAGUGAGCUUUUGCCAACCACUUGGUAUGCUGUCUUUCAAUCACUUGCAUCCCUUCCUCCUUAGUUGAUCCUACAGACCGGAGUUAAUGUUUGUGCUCUCUGGACCCAAAGCAUGCAACAGCAAAUUCCCCAUUGUCCAUGGAUCUGCCCACGGACACUACUGUUACCAUCCUGGCAGGGUCUAGGGCAACUUUUCUGAAGGAACUGGUGUUCUUCCUGAAUGGAGAGCUCACCAUUGGAAAAAGCAAUCUCCUGCAUCUUCUCUCUUGCAUUUUUGUCCUUCCCUCCAACCCUACCAUUUUCUGAGGUUAUCGUAGAACAAGUAGAAGUCCAGCUCUUCAUUCUUGGCUCUGCAGCGUGCAAACUGUUGUGCGGCCGAGGCUUUGAAAUAAGUUAUUCUUAUUGUGAUUCUUGUUUAUAACAUCAGAUUCAUUGUUUGCAAUUUUGUUCGGUGGCAUCCAAUCAAUAGCAGACAAUAAAAUAUUAUUUCAAGUGGUGUAGACGUUCCAUGAGAAUGUGAUUGAUUGCUUUAAUUUCUGCCUUCCUCAGUGUUUUUACUAAACCUUGUCUUGAUUUCUUUCCUCCUGCCUAGC